rfam:Ancylostoma ceylanicum strain HY135 Acey_s0076_scaf, whole genome shotgun sequence.
GCCCCAUUGGCUCAGAGGGCAGAGCGUCUGUCUUGUAAACAGAAGGUCGCUGGUUCGACUCCAGCAUGGGGCA